CCCAAAUUGAAAUUACUUUUCUCAGUUCAAAUAUUAAAUCAAAACUCUCAUAUCAAGCAAUCUUCUUCUUCUUCUUUUUGUCCAAUUUUUUCUAUAUCAGUAUAAUUUCUCAAAUUCUCGUUGAAAUAGCUUCCCUAAAAUCGAUUUGAUUUCUAGAACAAGCUCUUAGAUCUACCAUUGGCAGCUCCUAGGACGACUACCUUACAAUCGGUGACAGACUUAAAGAGUAACCACGGUGGAGGAAGUGUCAAGAUGAGAAAUAGAAUCAAUAGCGGUUAUCAUCAAUUAUAAUGAAAAAAUCAGAUUAUUUUGCCACCUUAUGGGGAAAUUACUUCAGGAAGUCCUAAAAAAGAAGAUACAAGGCAUCAUGGGAGAAAAAGACAUCAGUAAUAUGCAAGGUGUAGAAAACAGGGGCAUAACAAUAAGAGUUGUAGAAAUUUGCUAAAGAAAAACAUGUAAUAGCUUGACAUUACUGCUCAAAGUGUUUGUUAUACCUUAUAUACACUUUAUGUAUAUUAUUCACAUGCCUUUUAGUUUUCUAA